GUCUACGGCCAUACCACCCUGAACGCGCCCGAUCUCGUCCGAUCUCAGAAGCUAAGCAGGGUGGGGCCUGGUUAGUACUUGGAUGGGAGACAUCUCAUUUUCAGAUGGACUGUCAUGGUGUCACAGUGC
rnacentral:rRNA from 1 species